rnacentral:rRNA from 1 species
GAUGAACGNCUGGCGCCCGUUCUUAACACAUGCAAGUCGAGCGAAGCACUUUUGCGGAUUCCUUCGGAUCGAAGCAACUGUGACUGAGCGGCGGACGGGUGAGUAACGCGUGGGUAACCUGCCUCAUACAGGGGGAUAACAGUUGGAAACGGCUGCUAAUACCGCAUAAGCGCACAGUGCCGCAUGGUACCGUGUGAAAAACUCCGGUGGUAUGAGAUGGACCCGCGUCUGAUUAGCUAGUUGGUGGGGUAACGGCCUACCAAGGCGACGAUCAGUAGCCGACCUGAGAGGGUGACCGGCCACAUUGGGACUGAGACACGGCCCAAACUCCUACGGGAGGCAGCAGUGGGGAAUAUUGCACAAUGGGGGAAACCCUGAUGCAGCGACGCCGCGUGAGCGAUGAAGUAUUUCGGUAUGUAAAGCUCUAUCAGCAGGGAAGAAAAUGACGGUACCUGACUAAGAAGCCCCGGCUAACUACGUGCCAGCAGCCGCGGUAAUACGUAGGGGGCAAGCGUUAUCCGGAUUUACUGGGUGUAAAGGGAGCGUAGACGGCAUGGCAAGCCAGAUGUGAAAGCCCGGGGCUCAACCCCGGGACUGCAUUUGGAGCUGUCAGGCUAGAGUGUCGGAGAGGUAAGCGGAAUUCCUAGUGUAGCGGUGAAAUGCGUAGAUAUUAGGAGGAACACCAGUGGCGAAGGCGGCUUACUGGACGAUGACUGACGUUGAGGCUCGAAAGCGUGGGGAGCANACAGG